rnacentral:rRNA from 1 species
AACAAGGUCUUCGUAGGUGAACCUGCGGAGGGAUCAUUACCGAGUUAGGGUCCUCAUCGGGCCCGACCUCCCAACCCAUUGUUUAUGAUACCUAGUGUUGCUUCGGU